AGCAGCCGCGGUAAUUCCAGCUCCAAUAGCGUAUAUUAAAGUUGUUGCAGUUAAAAAGCUCGUAGUUGAAUUUCGGAAUCAAUAUAUCGGUCGUGCCUUGGUACGUACUGGUAUCAUUGGUUUCUCCUUUCUGACGAACCAUGAUGUCAUUAAUUUGGUGUUAUGGGAAGUUAGGACUGUUACUUUGAAAAAAUUAGAGUGUUUAAAGCAGGCUUUAGCUUGAAUACAUUAGCAUGGAAUAAUGAAAUAGGACGUUCGAACCUAUUUUGUUGGUUUCUAGGAUCAACGUAAUGAUUAAUAGGGAUAGUUGGGGGCAUUAGUAUUCAAUUGUCAGAGGUGAAGUUCUUGGAUUUAUUGAAGACUAACUACUGCGAAAGCAUUUGCCAAGGAUGUUUUCAUUAAUCAAGAACGAAAGUUAGGGGAUCGAAGACGAUCAGAUACCGUCGUAGUCUUAACCAUAAACUAUGCCGACUAGGGAUCGGAUGAUGUUAAUUUUUUAAUGACUCA
rnacentral:rRNA from 1 species